rnacentral:Y_RNA from 1 species
GGCUGAUUGGAGUGCAGUGGUGUUUACAACUAAUUGAUCACAACCAGCUACAGAUUUCUUUGUUCCUUCUCCACUCUCACUGCUUCACUUGACUAAUCUGAA